GUGCCAGCAGCCGCGGUAAUACAGGGGGUGCAAACGUUGCUCGGAAUCAUUGGGCGUAAAGCGCUCGUAGGCGGUCUGUUACGUCGGCUGUGAAAACCUGGGGCUCAACCCCGAGCCUGCUUCCGAUACGGGCAGACUAGAGGUAGGCAGGGGAGAGCGGAACUCCUGGUGUAGCGGUGGAAUGCGCAGAUAUCAGGAAGAACACCGGUGGCGAAGGCGGUUCUCUGGGCCUUACCUGACGCUGAGGAGCGAAAGCGUGGGGAGCGAACAGGAUUAGAAACCCUAGUAGUCC
rnacentral:rRNA from 1 species